GAUGAAGAACGUAGCGAAAUGCGAUAAGUAAUGUGAAUUGCAGAAUUCAGUGAAUCAUCGAAUCUUUGAACGCACAUUGCGCCCGCCAGUAUUCUGGCGGGCAUGCCUGUUCGAGCGUCAUUACAACCCUCAGGCCCCCGGGCCUGGCGUUGGGGAUCGGCGGAAGCCCCCUGCGGGCACAACGCCGUCCCCCAAAUACAGUGGCGGUCCCGCCGCAGCUUCCAUUGCGUAGUAGCUAACACCUCGCAACUGGAGAGCGGCGCGGCCACGCCGUAAAACACCCAACUUCUGAAUGUUGACCUAAUCAGGUAGGAAUACCCGCUGAACUUAAGCAUAUCAAUAAGCGGAGGA
rnacentral:misc_RNA from 1 species